CUCAUAUUUUGGCAAACUUAUUGAAAAAUAAGGACGCAAAGCUAUAGGGACCAAAUCCGUCGGGGUAGGUCAGCCAGUUGCAUUC
rnacentral:ncRNA from 1 species